rnacentral:rRNA from 1 species
UGGGGAAUAUUGCACAAUGGGCGCAAGCCUGAUGCAGCCAUGCCGCGUGUAUGAAGAAGGCCUUCGGGUUGUAAAGUACUUUCAGUCGGGAGGAAGGUGGUAAGGUUAAUAACCUUAUCAAUUGACGUUACCGACAGAAGAAGCACCGGCUAACUCCGUGCCAGCAGCCGCGGUAAUACGGAGGGUGCAAGCGUUAAUCGGAAUUACUGGGCGUAAAGCGCACGCAGGCGGUUUGUUAAGUCAGAUGUGAAAUCCUCGGGCUCAACCUGGGAACUGCAUCUGAUACUGGCAAGCUUGAGUCUCGUAGAGGGGGGUAGAAUUCCAGGUGUAGCGGUGAAAUGCGUAGAGAUCUGGAGGAAUACCGGUGGCGAAGGCGGCCCCCUGGACAAAGACUGACGCUCAGGUGCGAAAGCGUGGGUAGCAAACAGG